GUUUGAUCAUGGCUCAGGACGAACGCUGGCGGCGUGCCUAAAACAUGCAAGUCGAACGAGGCAGCAAUGCCUAGUGGCGAACGGCGGAGUAAGACGUAAGCAACGUGCCCCGAAGUCUGGGAUAUACAGUCGAAAGACUGGGCAAUACCGGAUACGGCCACCGAAGGGCAUCCUUUGGUGAUUAAAUGGUUUUUCGCUCCGGGAGCGGCUUACGGCCUAUCAGCUAGUUGGUGGGGUAAAGGCCUACCAAGGCAACGACGGGUAGGGGGUCUGAGAGGAUGAUCCCCCCGAGUGGGACUGAGACACGGCCCACACACCUACGGGUGGCAGCAGUUGGGAAUCUUGCACAAUGGGGGCAACCCUGAUGCAGCGACGCCGCGUGGAGGACGAAGGAUUUAGGUCUGUAAACUCCUUUUGCCAGGAAAGACUUAGGACGGUACCUGGCGAAUAAGCUCCGGCUAACUACGUGCCAGCAGCCGCGGUAAUACGUAGGGAGCGAGCGUUGUCCGGAUUUACUGGGCGUAGAGGGCGCGUAGGCGGUCUGCUAAGCAUGAAGUGAAAUCUCCAGGGCUCAACCCGGAGACCGCUUUGUGAACUGGCAGACUGGAGGAAGGCAGAGGUGAGUGGAAUUCCCGGUGUAGCGGUGACAUGCAUUGAUAUCGGGAGGAACACCCAUGGCGAAGGCAGCUCACUGGGCCUUUCCUGACGCUGAGGCGCGAAAGCGUGGGUAGCAAACAGAAUUAGAUACUCUGGUAGUCCACGCCCUAAACGAUGGAUGCUAGGCGUGAGGGGUAUCGACCCCCCUUGUGCCGCAGCUAACGCAUUAAGCAUCCCGCCUGGGGAGUACGGCCGCAAGGUUGAAACUCAAAUGAAUUUGACG
rnacentral:rRNA from 1 species